ACUGCUGUAUUUUUUAAAAUAUGAUGUACUGUCUGAAUAUCUAACACAAUUUUGGUUCGCUAUGCUUCUAAAUGAAUAUGAAAUAGAGUUUAUGUUCAGAAAAAUUCGAAACAUUCGAAAUUUGGGCAAUGUUCACAUUAGAGGUCCUCACAUUGUUAUGAGCAGAACCGAUGCGCAGAACGGACUUGACUUCCUCUUUAACAGCAUAG